rnacentral:misc_RNA from 1 species
CCGUUUACAAAGGUGAUGAUUCUUACGGCGUACGCCGAGGACGAAAGUAUCAUGAAUGCCGCCAAAGGCGGAGCUCGCGGCUACCUGCUGAAGGGAGCGGAUUUCGCGACGUUGUUGCAAGCGAUCAAG